AUUGAACGCUGGCGGCAUGCUUUACACAUGCAAGUCGAACGGCAGCGCGGGCUUCGGCCUGGCGGCGAGUGGCGAACGGGUGAGUAAUACAUCGGAACGUGCCCAGUAGUGGGGGAUAGCUCGGCGAAAGCCGGAUUAAUACCGCAUACGACCUGAGGGUGAAAGCGGGGGAUCUUCGGACUUCGCGCUAUUGGAGCGGCCGAUGGCAGAUUAGCUAGUUGGUGGGGUAAAGGCCUACCAAGGCGACGAUCUGUAGCUGGUCUGAGAGGACGACCAGCCACACUGGGACUGAGACACGGCCCAGACUCCUACGGGAGGCAGCAGUGGGGAAUUUUGGACAAUGGGCGAAAGCCUGAUCCAGCAAUGCCGCGUGUGUGAUGAAGGCCUUCGGGUUGUAAAGCACUUUUGGCGGGAACGAAAAGGACUGUGCCAAUACCACGGUUCGAUGACGGUACCCGCAGAAUAAGCACCGGCUAACUACGUG
rnacentral:rRNA from 1 species